rnacentral:rRNA from 1 species
AGACGUAGGAGGCGAGCGUUAUCCGGAUUUAUUGGGCGUAAAGGGCAAGUAGGCGGUUGUCAAAGUUGGGCGUGACAGACCCUGGCUUAACUAGGGGAGGUCGUUCAAAACUAGGCAACUAGAGGGCAGAAGAGGAAAGCAGAACUCCUGAUGUAGCGGUGGAAUGCUCAGAUAUCAGGAAGAAUACCAGUGGCGAAGGCGGCUUUCUGGUCUGCACCUGACGCUGAGAGGCGAAGGCCAGGGGAGC